GAAUGUAUGCUGGUUCUGAGGGUCCAGGUGUUCAAACUGUUUCAGGAGAUUCAGAUGAUCCACCUGUACAUCUGGAAGAGAGGGAAGAGUCCAACACCUGAGGGCAUGUUCUUUCAGAACCCCCAUCUUGGGCCAGACAUGAUCCAAAGAAGUCACGGACAGCACUAGGGAAGCCCAGAAGACAGCUUGAACCUGGGGCAAUCAGGGAAGGCUUCCUGGAGGAGGUGAUCCCACGACUGAGUCUGAUGCUUACAAUAAUAACCAUAAUAAAAACUAACAUGUAGUGCCUACUUACUAGAUGCCAGGCCAUGCCCUAAGCACUUUAACUGUAUUAAUUCAUUCACUUUCCACAAAAUCCUGACAACAAGGGUUUUAUGAUUAUCCCCAUUUUAUGAAUGUGAAAACUGAGACCCCUUGAGGGGUUGUGACUGGUCUAGGGUACCAGCUAGCAAGUGGCAGAGCAAGGAUGGGAACCAGCCAUUGGACAUCCAAAAACCAUGACACUCAACCAUUUCUUUUUUUCUUUUCCUUCUUUUUUUUUUUUUUUGAGACAGGGUUUCACUCUGCAGUGGCAGGAUCUCGGCUCGCUGCAACCUCCGCCUCCCAGGCUCAAGCAAUCCUCCUGCCUCAGCCCCGAGUAACUGGGACUACAGGUGCAUGCCACCACACUCGGCUAAUUUUUGUAUUUUUAGUAGAAACAGAAACAGGGUUUCACCAUGUUGGCCAGGCUGGUCUUGAACUCCUGACCUCAGGUGAUCCACCCACCUCGGCCUCCCAAAGUGUUGUGAUUACAGGU
rnacentral:lncRNA from 1 species